ACUGUAACUGACGUUGAGGCACGAAAGUGUGGGGAGCAAACAGGAUUAGAUACCCUGGUAGUCCACACUGUAAACGAUGGAUACUAGGUGUAGGGGGUAUUAAGCCUUCUGUGCCGUCGCAAACGCAGUAAGUAUCCCACCUGGGGAGUACGACCGCAAGGUUGAAACUCAAAGGAAUUGACGGGGGCCCGCACAAGCAGUGGAGUAUGUGGUUUAAUUCGAAGCAACGCGAAGAACCUUACCAGGGCUUGACAUAUACAGGAAUAUUAUAGAGAUAUAAUAGCUCUUCGGAGCCUGUAUACAGGUGGUGCAUGGUUGUCGUCAGCUCGUGUCGUGAGAUGUUGGGUUAAGUCCCGCAACGAGCGCAACCCCUGCUUCUAGUUGCCAGCACGUAAAGGUGGGAACUCUAGAGAGACUGCCGGUGAUAAAUCGGAGGAAGGUGGGGACGACGUCAAAUCAUCAUGCCCUUUAUGUCCUGGGCUACACACGUACUACAAUGGCUAUAACAAAGGGAAGCGAAACAGUGAUGUGAAGCGAAACUCAAAAAAGUAGUCUCAGUUCGGAUUGAAGGCUGAAAUUCGCCUUCAUGAAGCCGGAAUG
rnacentral:rRNA from 1 species